rnacentral:rRNA from 1 species
GUUGAACGCUGGCGGAAUGCUUUACACAUGCAAGUCGAACGGUAGAGGGGGCAACCCCUCGAGAGUGGCGAACGGGUGAGUAAUAUAUCGGAACGUGCCCAGUCGUGGGGGAUAACGUAGCGAAAGUUACGCUAAUACCGCAUACGAUCUAAGGAUGAAAGCGGGGGAUCGCAAGACCGCGCGCGAUUGGAGCGGCCGAUAUCAGAUCAGGUAGUUGGUGGGGUAAAGGCUCACCAAGCCAACGAUCUGUAGCUGGUCUGAGAGGACGACCAUCCAGACUGGGCAUGAGCCACGGCCCAGACUCCUACGGGAGGCAGCAGGGGGGAAUUUUGGACAAUGUGCGCAAGCCUGAUCCAGCCAUGCCGCGUGCAUGAUGAAUGCCUUCGGGUUGUAAGCUGCUGUUGUACGGAACGAAAGGGUUUGGCCUAAUACGCUGAACUCAUGACGGUACCGUAAGAAUAAGCACCGGCGAACUACGUGCCAGCCGCCGCAGUAAAAC